CCGGAUGUGGAAGCCCAGUAAUGGGUGGAGCUGACCGGUACUAAUAGGCCGAGGGCUUGUCCUCAGUUG
rnacentral:rRNA from 1 species